CCACUAGCAGGGGCCACUUCUGCAGUACCCUCCUUUGUACCCUCCCAUUAUGUGAUUCAGAUGACAGAUACAGGGGCAUGUGUCUUAGAGGCAUCCUGACAUUGCAGCCUUUGUGUAUGUCUCAUAUUUUAUCACAGAAAAAGGCCACAUUUGGGGUCCAAGUAUAGUUUGCCGCAUUUUACACACUAAGAAGCUAAGUCCAUCUCUCCCAUACCCCAUGCCAAUUUUCUGUUCUUUGUCCAAUGCUCAGCCAGUCAAAGCAGCCAUGUGAUCUAGCACAAAUUAAUACACUCUGAACUUUUACAAUCAAGGCCAGAUUAAAACAUCCUGGACAGUAGAUAUAAGAUGUUUAAUAAAAAUAAAUAAACUACAGGUUAAAUCUCUCUGACUUGAGGAAGAGAAAGUGCUGGGGAUUUAGCUCAGCGGCAUAAGCACCUGCCUUGCAAGCAGACAGUCGUGAGUUUGAUCCCUGGUACCGAUAAAAAACGAAAAAGACCAAAAAAAAAAAAAAAAAAAAAAAAGAGAUGUACCUGGGUUGCAGGACUGUGGGUGACUCUAAUUUUACUUUGCAUGUUUUGCUAACUUCUUGAUAUUUUCUAGGUGGAAUACAUAUUACCCAGGUAAUUAGAAAGAACACUAACAUUUUAAAAUAGACAGAAGUAGAACCCAAAAUGGAAGACAGCAGCUAGCCAGGAAAAAUGCGUUUGAGUUUUCACAUCAAAACUUAAACCUUAAAGGCAGAGAGAAAGAUCCCAGGAAAGCAGUGGGGUGAAGGCUGUCGGGUGGAGUGUGCAGAGAUGUGAUGGCACUAACUAGGACGCUGCAGUGGGUGAGGCUGGGUCGUAGCCGUUCCCAGAUGUGCAGGUUGUCACCUGCUUCCUUACCUGGUCUUGCUCAUCACAGAUGUCAGGCCCCCAGACAGCUUGACCCAGGGCAGAGGACAGAUGGACAGCACGGGGGGAAUCUGGAGCCAAGUCCCAAGAGCAAGGAGCCGCUGUCUUCCUCAUGCAGUGACUCGGACAGGGCAAUGAGAGCGGACGUCUCGGGGUCUACACUUAGGCUCACUUCACUGCACCUCUGGCUUGGGUGCUUCCUUCUGAUUUCCCUGCUCUGAGAGGUGCUGGCUAGUGCAAGGUGGGGGUGUGAAACACAGCGUUUCUCUUAAUGAUUUGUUUUCCUUUAAGCCCACCGUGCUAAUGGUCUGUGUUUGGAAAUUGGAAGGCUUGGGCUACAUGAAAAGCACAGAAGUCUCUCUCUAAACCCUUAGCUUCAUGCUGAUGCCCCUCUCCGCCCUCUUCUCUAAGUUUCUACUUACACCAAUCAGUGGACUGUCGCUGGCUGCUUUUGGACAGAGUUCAUGCUCUCAUCUUGGUGUAGAAAGACCUGCUGUUCACCCUGCAUCCCAGCCCUUGCCAUGCACACCAGCCACACCAAACCAGCCUGGUUCUCUGAACACAUGGCAGGCUGGUUUGUGUCUUUGGACACUUAGGGUCUUGUUGAUGUCACAAAUCACUACCAUGAACCAGCCUCUGAGGUAAAUGAGUUAAUUCUGUCUCAUAACAAGCCUGUCCUGUGAGCUCAAGGCCAAGCCUGUGGCUCAGAGAAGUGAACUAGCUCACGGAGGGUCACACAGCCAGUAAGUGACAGAGUCAGAAUUUGAAUGCAGGUUUAAUACCAAAGCCUACCUUACUUUUAUUUUUAUUAAAAUGUGUCAAAAUAUAGAUAAGAUAAAUUCCAUCGCAUUAGCCCUUGUGAAGUGGGUAAUCUGUGGUGUUGAGUGCGCUUACAUUGUUCUAAGCUCUGACCAGCAUUCAUCUCCGGAGCUUUGGGAUCCUUCCCACCUCACUGAAGGAAAGGCUGUGGACCGCCCGUCUCUUGGAGGAGAAGGUGCUAAGUUUCACACUCUGUUCCUCAACUCAGAUGUUUCAGACAGACGCAGAAAAUACUGUUCUGCAAAUGCUGCCUUCAUCGUUCUUGAGACAGGCAGCCUCUUUUUGUUUAUUUAUGUUUUAGGUGGAGCACCAGCAAUCAAACUCACCACCUUGAUUUGCCAGGCAGGCGCUUAUGCCACGGAGCUAUGUCCUCAGCUCUUUUCAUUUUGCGUUUGAUAGCAUGGUUAUAGAAAAUAGCCUUCUGCUUCCAUUGUUCUAAAAAAUAUACAGAAGUACAAGGAAGACUGGAUCUGACCCUUGCCUCAGUGCGGGGGACACCAGGAAAGCGGGGAACGGGGAGUGGGUGCUUUUGGUUCUCUAUAAACCCGUAGAUAUCACCUGACUUUUAAAACUAACGUUUAUUACUCUGGUAAAAAUAAAAAUCCACUCAUUUUUCAAAUACACUGUAAUCCUAGCACUCUGGGAGGACAAGACAGGAGGCCCACAGGUCGGACCCCAUCCUGGGCAUCUUAGAGAGGCCCUGCCUCAAAAUAAAAGGUGUAAGAGGGCUGGGGAUGUCGCUCAGGGCAAAGACAAAGUACAACAACGGUCCUGGAGGUUGUAGAGAGGGUGAAUGAAGCCUUUAUGCCCUGCUGAUGGGACUGUAAAAUGGUUCAGCUACCAUGUAAAACAGUAUCGAAGUCCCUAAAAAAAUAAUUAAACACAGAAUGUCACAUAGCUCAGAAAUCCCAUUUCUGAGCACAUGUCCAAAGGAAAUGAAAGCAGAACUCCGACUUAAUAUCUGCACAACCACAUUCACAGCCACACUCUCCAAAAAUGACCUGAGGCAGACCAUGCCGGACCCGAGAGGAGAGAAGCCGGUUCAGUUUUCCCGUGAGUCAGCAGAGGCCAUGCUGGGUCUGGGAUGAGCUAGUUUGAGAUUCCCAUAAGCUGCAUAAACCAGGCGGGCCCAGGAAGAGAGAAGGAACCCCCUCUCCUAAGCAACUGGCUGGGUCGGAGGACAGGCUGAGAUGAUAGCAACUGAGGUACAGAAACAACUCAAUGCUUGUAUUGUUUGACUGACUGCAGGCCUGGGCUGCUGGUCUGGACAUGUACUUGGAGGAUGGCAGUGUGCAUUGUGGCAACUGUGGGGAUUUCCUCCUGUCUUGUUUUUGAAAUCCAUCAUUCUCACUGUUUUGUUUUGUCCCAAUUUAUUGUUGUGUUUUAUUCAAUGCUCUGUGUUGAUUGGUUUUAUUUGAUUUCACUAUGUCUGAAGGAAUGGAUAGCUAUUGUGAAGAUAACAAGACACGUUAUGGUAGUCAUUGAUAACCUACUGUCCUAUUUUAAAGUUCUGUACCACUUGCACUGCUUUGUUUUGAUUGGCUUUAUUCUGUUUUAUAUCAUUGGUUUUAUUCUCUUUACAGUAAAAAAAAAUGGCCUGAGCCUAUCAAUGGAUAAAUGAAUAAAUACAAUGUGGUAGAAAUAUGCGAUGGAAUAUAAUACAGCUCUGAAAGGAAGAAAUUCUGACAUGCUACUACAUGGGCGAGCCUCAAAGACAUCAUACUAGUCAAUUUGUUUGUCUCAGUGUGUACCAGUGGGAGCCCUGGUGAUCGUGUGGUGCCUGGCAUUUUUAACUUUCCUCUCUUCUGGGCUGAGUCUGGCAGGUGUCUCUGCUGCAGUGUGCCCCUAAUCCUUUUUGUCAUUAACAGCUAUCUCAUGAGGGAGAUACCUUCAGACCAUGUAAAAGUCUUUCCUCAUCUACCUUCCCCUCACUAGAGUUCUGGCACCUAGUGAUAUUUCCUGACGUAAUUAGCACCAUAAUCAUUGCCAAGAGGUGAGUUCCCUAUGUGAUCAUUCCUUUUGUGUCUAUUCGGGUCCUUUUUUAUUGAUUAACUAUAUCUAACAGCAAGCAUCCAUGGGUCUUAUUUGAAUGACUGUGACACACCACUCCUUUGUUUAAUGCUCAAAACUUCCCAGUGUGGCCAGUCAGAGCCAGUUCAAACUGUUUCCUGUGUCCCUCUGGCUUGUCAUUAGCAUCGCUUGAUCACCUCCUGCCUUGAUGACACAGACAGAUGCUCCAGGCUCGUCUUAUUCUUUCCCUGAAUUUGGCCAUCCAGUUUGAUGGAUUGUUGAUAUAUAGAUUAACAGUCCAAUCCAUGCGGAUUAAAGUUUUUUUUUUUUUUUUUUUUUUUUGUACCAGGGAUUGAACUCACGACCUCACACUUGCCAGGCAGGAGCUUGUGCCAAUGAGCUACAUCCCUGACCUCCAUGUUGAUUUAUAAAACACAGCUACUUCUAAAUGUUUCAAAUGUGCAAACAGAAGAAGUCACCUGGUUUUCCUCGUGUGCCUAUCCUAUUGCUUUAACAGGUGCAUGUGAGAUUUCACCCUGGUUUUAACCAGAUUUGGUAAGCACCGAUCCAAACAGAGGAGGUGUGCACUGUACAGCUGAUUCAAUACUAGCUGUGAGCAUGAGUGACCCUGAGAGGGGACAGGAAAGGGGGCAACAGCGUCUAUACUGCGGGGGUGCUGGGCUUCUUUGCUCCUCUUGGAUGCUCAGGGGAAGCCAGCCUGGACACUUUGUCCCGGGAGAAGAGCUCUUGCGUAUUUACCUUUAAUGGUAACGGAACUAGAACCACUGUGAAAACACGCCAGAUUUCACUAAAUGGUGUUCAGCACCAUAACUGCUAGUGGCCGAGCUCAGAAUAACCCAGAUUUCUGCACUGAUGGGGAAUUAACUAUCGACUGCCAGGAAAUACCUGGCAUUUCAUUGUAGCAGCUCUCAAUAAGCAUUGUAGGAGCUCUUCGGCCAUGGAUUUUUAAAUAGUUACUAAUUAAACAAAAAUAGAAUCUACAAUAAUAGUAAUGAUCCUUGUGGCACAGGUCAGUAGCUAAGCUCCCUUGUGAGCGCUCAUUACCUGUGGGGAGAUGGUUUGUGAAAGACCGUGUGUGCUGCCUUGGAUACCCAUGGCUUGGGGUCGCUGCUGGACAAGGUGGAGGGCUGCACCCCGAGCCCACUGCAUCACCCCAUGCACCCUCCAUCCCUGCGGCCCAUCUUGUGUUGUCUCAGAGAAUCUGCUCACUGGUUGCUCUGCCCGUUUGUCUCAUGGCAUGUUUGAUGAGUAGCCCUCUGAAUCCCCUCUUAGGACGGGUGGGGCCCUGUUGCACAAGGGCCACUGAGUGUCCCUGUGCCGUGGAUGUCAAGUGGCCGUGAGUGGGCAAAUGGAGUAGUAGUGCCAAGUGGUCACUGAGCAGCUCCAGAUGGCUGGGCGGAGGCCCAUCCAGGUAUCGAAGGAGCCACAGGAGGCGGCUGUCUCAGGUAAAGGCAGGUCUUCCGUUUGGGUGACCCAAGUAAGUGUGCAGUUCCUUGUUUGUUCAUUCAUCCAAAAGAUAAACACUGAGCACCUACUAUGCCCCAGGUAUCGAAUUCGGUGCUGGGGAUAAAAAUCAAGGCAGACAUGGUCGUCAAUCCCAAGGACCAGACCGGGGAGGGAGGAGUCUACUAACACGGAAGUAAAACUGUGUCACUGAGGCAGCGCACAGCCGCAGUGCAUCAUGAUUACAGUUAUCACCGGCAGAGCGCAUCUUCAUGCCUACCCCCGCCCCCCAGACUCUGCGCCCCCUGGACACGCUAACUUCCCAUCCCCUCACCCUCGGCCUCUGGCAGCCGCGGUUCUCCGUUCUAUUCUUCAGCUGCUUCAGAGGCUUCCUGGGACGUGGAAUCCUGGCUGGUGCCCACCGUGUGAGGGUGGGAGUGCCUGGGCUUCAGGUCCAUUUUUGGUGAACAAAUGCUGCUUUGCCUUUGCCUGGCCUUUUCUAACCCAUGUGGUGGCCGCUGUAGAAAGUAAAAAGCAGAGUUAAAUGUGAACUGCAAAGUAAAGGGGUGGGAAGCUUCAGAAAGGGGCAGCUUUUGUUACCAUCUUUUGGGGAGGUACCUCAAACAGAAGUCAAAUAGUUUUGAUGAUCUUUGGAAGGCUUUUGGUUUGUUUUUCCUUUUUUGUAAUAAAAAUUGGAGUUUUAAAGUGUU